rnacentral:miRNA from 1 species
CACCUAGCAUGUAAGCAUUAGC